rnacentral:rRNA from 1 species
UACGUAGGGGGCAAGCGUUGUCCGGAAUCAUUGGGCGUAAAGAGCGUGUAGGUGGCCCGGUCAGUCCGCCGUGAAAGUCCAGGGCUCAACCCUGGAAUGCCGGUGGAUACUGCCGGGCUGGAGUCCGGAAGAGGCGAGUGGAAUUCCUGGUGUAGCGGUGAAAUGCGCAGAUAUCAGGAGGAACACCAAUGGCGAAGGCAGCUCGCUGGGACGGUACUGACACUGAGACGCGAAAGCGUGGGGAGCGAACCGG